rnacentral:rRNA from 1 species
GACGAACGCUGGCGGCGUGCUUAACACAUGCAAGUCGAACGGAAAGGCCCUGCUUGCUGGGUGCUCGAUUGGCGAACGGGUGAGUAACACGUUUGGGAUCUGACCCUUACUUUGGGAUAAGUCUGGGAAACUGGGUCUAAUACUGGAUAGGACCAUGCUGUAGGUUGUGUGGUGGAAAGAUUAGUUUCGGUGAGGGGUGAGCUCGCGGCCUAGAGGGUGGUUGGUGAGUUAAUGGCCUAGCAGGGCGUCGACGGGUAGCCGGCCAGAUGGGCUGGAAGGCCACAUUGCGACUGAGGGACUGCCCAGACUCCUACACGCGGCAGCGGUGGAGAAGAUUGGACUAUUGGCGCAAGGGUGAUAGAGCGACGCAGCGAUGCCGAGGACGGCCUUCAGGUUGUAGGCUCCUUACAGCCAUGACGAAGCCCUUGUGGUGACGGUAGCGGGAGAAGAAGCACCGGCUAACUACGUG